GGAGGAAUCCCAAGCAACAGCGAUUGCUGCAGUAAAGGCGAUUGAACUGGCAUCAUCACAUGGCUCAGCCCGAAUGAGAUUCCCUCCUGCACUGCCUCGGCAGCUUGCAGUCGGCUACUGUGGGUUUCACCAGAUGCUGUGGGCUAUGGAGCGGGCGGCUGUGUUGUGGCUGGCUGUGGCACCAGGAAGCACCCUGGAAUGGUUCGCGACAGAGGGAUAUUGCCCCGUACUCAGAGUAGUGUGCCACGGUCACUGCGACGCUGUCGUCUGUAUCCAGGAGUAGAGCGGCUUGGGACUGCAGUUUGAAGUGCGAUGUGUAUCCAUCGCAAGGUGGAAUACCGACAUGGGACCGAUAGUGCACAAGUAGAGUGAUUGAAGGAUGCAAAGGACUUUGCAAAGAGGGUUAAAAGUCCCUGAAGCCUCACAUGGAUCGGCGGUGAGUAGUGCUGUGGCCUUCGUGGUGCGGGUUGGACCGCGCUGGCCUGACGCUGUGUCAGGCUGGACGGAUCCCUUCCCCACCCAGUGAGAUCCCAAGCGACCUUGGGCCAGCCCAGAGCUGGCCACUGAGCCUAUCCCUUCAGGAAUGGACGCAGUCGUGGCAGCAUGCUGGUGGCACCCUGUGUGUCAGGGCCUGAGGUUACUGAGAACUCAGAGGGUUCACGUCUUCGCAGGAAAAGGAAAAAGAGGCCCUCCGGGCCAAGCCUAGCAACUGGUGGAUUCUGUCUCCUCUCGAAGUGGAAAAAGCCUUGUGUGGUUGCCCAAGACAGGUCUGUGAGUGGCCUUGAGUAUCCUGCUCCCUGUGAUAGAAUGCUGAUACAGAGAAACGGCGCUGAACCUGGUGCGUCUUCGGGCGUGCCAGUCACUGUUGCCCAGGACAUGGCUUCGGGGUUCACUGGGUCGUGGUGAUUGCACCACUCGUUGGUGGUCACGGCGGUCUGUGUGGAUUCCCCAGAUGGUGCACAGUGUAGAUGCGCAUAGCUUGGUGCAUGGCAGUGCUGCUCACUGCCCGUCUUGAAACACGGACCAAGGAGUCUAUGGAGCUUGCAGGUUCGCUGGUGUCAUCAAUGGAAACCCUCUCAAGGGCGUGGUGAAAGCGAUCUCCUACCCAGAUGGUGCGGUCUGUGUCGAUGCCCAAGGGGCCGGAUGUUUCACAGCGGCCUGUUGUCAGAGAGUGCAAACGCUGAGUAUGCUGGCGACCUGUUUUGGCUGAGGCAGGUCUCAAAUGGUGCAGAGUUUGUUGGCUUCGGAUUCUGAGUGCUUUCGGCGAAUGCCAUGGUGUCUGUCUCCUCACGGGGUGGAUCCUGCGCACCCCACGUGCUAUGUCCAGGAACAAAGGUGUAUGUAUCCCCUACGCCCAGGGGAAUCUGAGAAGAAUGGACGGACCAACCCUGUCCUGACCGACAGGUGCAAGCGAUACGCUGUUUGACUCUCUUUCCUCCUGUGGUGCUAUCGGACGUAUAUGGCUAUUGGCUCCCUGCGACUGCUAACCAUGUGGGUGUGACAAAAAGGCUCGUCUGCAAACCUCGGCGUCACGAUGCUGCUGCUCUCACUGUCUGGUGUCCUGUCACGGCCCAGGACCCUUCAGAAAAGGUUGCCUCUCUGCCACAAACCGUCCAUGGAACACGCUGUGCCUCGACAAAGCUCGGAGUGACUGCUAUCUGCAUGGGACACCGGUCCCGAUGUCCAGUGGACAGGGUUUUGAGUGAUUGCAAGUUCGAUGGGACCCGAAAGGUGGUGAACUAUACCGUACCAUGACGAAGCCGUGGGAAACUGCGGUGGAGGUCAGUCGCUGUUCUGACGUGCAAAUUGUGUAGCCUGAGUGUGGCAUAGGGGUGAAAGGCCAAUCGAGCCACCUAGUAGCUGGUUUCCCUCGAAGUUUCCCUCAGGAUAGCUGGGCUCGAGUGUACCCACAUCCGAGUGGUUACGUCCGGUAAAGCAACGCAUGAGAGGCAAUCCCGGGGAGGCUUUCCUCCUCGACCUAUUCUCGAACUGUGAAUGGGCGUGGCGAACCCAAAAAGGCAUGCUUCUUCACCGAUGCCCGAGGCAGAAUCUCCGGAUCCCUGUUCUCCAUGGCUUCUGAGCGUGUUUGUGGUGGCCGCUUUUGUCGACUGCACAGGCGAAGAGAGGGGGGUUCUCCUCCCCGAUCUCACUGUGAGAGAAGGCAAUGCCAAAAAGACUGCGUGUCCCAAGGUCGCUCCGGGAUCCUCCGACCGGAACCUCCGAACAAGUCAGGUGCUCUAUGUUGGCUGGUGAAAGUGCGACACCCUCCGAGGGUCAGUGAGUAGCCUCAACACAUCGCGUGGCGUUCUGGAGUGUCUCCUCUGGUUGGCAAGGGAACCUGUGUGGACCGAGGGCCGCACCUCGGGUGCUGAAUCGAUGUCUCCUCAACCAAGACUGAAGCUGCUACUGUGGUGAACAAGUGUGCCUAUGUGGACCAGGAUUGGUAAGCAGUGCUGGUGAUGCGGGGUGCUCCGAGAGUGGACUUACAGAUCCCGAGUGCUGGCUCAUACACAGAUCCCACAAAGGAUGUUGCAUGCUAUGGAUAGCAGGUCGGUGGCCAUGAAGGUUGGAACCCGCUGAGGAAUGUGUAACAACUCACCUGCCGAAGUGUGCAGCUCCGAAAAUGGAUGGUGCCCAAGUCAGUGAAGCUGAACUUGCCUUACAGUCCGCCGCCGCUGUGGCAGCAGAGCAGAGCAUCGUUGUGUAGAGAGGACUUGGGAGAUCGCUGAGCAAGCCGGGGUUGACCCCGGCUGGAGUGUCUUCUGGCGCAGAUCUUGGUUGCAGUAGCGAGUACUCCAUCGGGUGAAGAGUGGAAACACCCCGCUGUGUGUGGUUGAGGACUGGAGUGGAGCAGGUUUCCGCACCAAACAGCCGUUGAAUGCGGGUCAGCCGAUCGUGAGCCAAGUGGUAAAUCACCAGACAACCAAAGCUGCCGUGGCCUUUUUGUCGCACACUCUCCAAACCCCCUGUGUGUGGGGGCGUUCGCUGGAAAAACUGUUGGGGAUCCGUCACUCAACUCAGGUUUUGGUCUGCCACCGAGUAUGGGGAAUGCUGCUGGUGCGAAACCCCAAAAAAGCACAGACAGAGUCACUGAUCUCCCUCGAAGGGGGAACACCACGGUGUCGCCUCCGAACAGUGGUAGCCAUCACACCCUACUGUGUGGGGUGCAGUGCGAGCACAGGAUGCAGAAAGGAGCAGGACCAUUAUACCUUGGGCUGUUUGUGUCUGUGAACCGCAGAAGGGAAAGCGACCCCCUCAACGAAGGGGGAAAGAAGUGUGUGGCAAAGGCGUCUGGCAGGAGUGGCAAACAGGCAAGCAAGUGCAACAUUCUGCUGCGAUGGGCUCGGGACAUGCCCAAAAGUGUGACGGUGACAUCUCGAGAUUCUGUGCUCAGGCUUCGGGGCAGUGCACCCUCCAUGGAGUUAUCGUUUCCUCCUGAUGCAGUCUCAUGUGGACUACCAAUCAGCAUGACAGAUGGUGACGUAUGUCCUCCGCUCAGCAAGGCAGCGUGCUCUCAGCGCUGGUGGUGUCCCAGCAAAAAACAGAAAGGCGUCCCAAAAGGCGACCACUCGUGUACGGUGGUCACUGGCUCCACUGAACAGCCUGUGGCAACAUUGUGUCCCUAGUCCCUGACCCUCGUACUGAAUCACCGCAGCCGGUCUCCUCGGCUAAACGCCGCUGGUCGACAGAUUGAAUGCAGCUAAGGGAAGUCGGCAAACUAGCCAUGUACCUUCGGAAGAUGUGGUGGCUCCAGAGGCCAAGUCAUUGGGCCCCGACGCGGGCGACAUUCUUUCGCUGGUGAGAUCGCCUUGUAUGGUGGCUUCGGUUGCUGUGUGGGGAGUGUUCACUCCAGCUGGUGUCGUUUAUCAGGCUCGAAAAACCCUGUGAAAGGGACUAUCCUCCUGCUGCGUCGGGGGGACGGUGCGUCUUCGGGCGUGCCGCUCCCACCCUGGUGUCUACACAGUGGCCCACUUGGAACUGUUGCUGUGCAAGGGAAUCUGACUGUUUAAUUGAAACACAGCUUUGUGACGGGACCAGCUGGCUGGUACCAUGAGGUGACUUCUGCCCAGUGCUCUGAUUGUCAUGGCAAAGAGAUUUAGCCAAGCGCGGGUAAACGGCGGGAGUAACUAUGACUCUCUUAAGGUAGCCAAAUGCCUCGUCAACCAAUUAUUGACGCGCAUGAAUGGAUCAACGAGAUUCCUGCUGUCCCUAGGUGCUAUCUGGUGAACCAACAGCCAAGGGAACGGGCUUGGGCGUGUCAGCGGGGAAAGAAGAGCCUGUUGAGA
rnacentral:rRNA from 1 species